rnacentral:rRNA from 1 species
GACUACUGGUGUAUCUAAUCCUGUUUGCUCCCCACGCUUUCGCGCAUCAGCGUCAGUUAUGUUCUAGCAGGUCGCCUUCGCAAUGAGUAUUCCUCUUGAUCUCUACGGAUUUUACCCCUACACCAAGAAUUCCACCUACCUCUCCCAUACUCUAGAAUAACAGUUUCAAAUGCAGUUCUAUGGUUAAGCCAUAGGAUUUCACAUCUGACUUGCUAUCCCGCCUACGCGCUCUUUACGCCCAGUGAUUCCGAGUAACGCUUGCACCCUCCGUAUUACCGCGGCUGCUGGCACGGAGUUAGCCGGUGCUUAUUCGUUAGAUACCGUCAGUAUCUUCUCUAACAAAAGGAGUUUACAAUCCGAAAACCUUCAUCCUCCACGCGGCGUUGCUGCUUCAGGGUUUCCCCCAUUGAGCAAUAUUCCCUACUGCUGCCACCCGUAGG